UGGGGAAUCUUCCGCAAUGGACGAAAGUCUGACGGAGCAACGCCGCGUGUAUGAAGAAGGCCUUCGGGUUGUAAAGUACUGUUGUUAGGGAAGAACUUCCAGUAUGUAAAUAAUGUAUUGGAUUGACGGUACCUAACGAGGAAGCCCCGGCUAACUACGUGCCAGCAGCCGCGGUAAUACGUAGGGGGCAAGCGUUGUCCGGAAUUAUUGGGCGUAAAGGGCGCGUAGGCGGGCAUAUAAGUCUGAUGUGAAAGUGCGGGGCUUAACCCCGUAAAGCAUUGGAAACUGUAUGUCUUGAGGACAGGAGAGGAAAGUGGAAUUCCUAGUGUAGCGGUGAAAUGCGUAGAUAUUAGGAGGAACACCAGUGGCGAAGGCGACUUUCUGGACUGUAACUGACGCUGAGGCGCGAAAGCGUGGGGAGCGAACAGG
rnacentral:rRNA from 2 species